UACGAAGGGGGCUAGCGUUGCUCGGAAUCACUGGGCGUAAAGGGCGCGUAGGCGGAUCUUUAAGUCGGGGGUGAAAGCCUGAGGCUCAACCUCAGAACUGCCUUCGAUACUGGGAAGCUCGAGUCCGGAAGAGGCGAGUGGAACUCCUGGUGUAGCGGUGAAAUGCGCAGAUAUCAGGAAGAACACCUACGGCGAAGGCAGCUCGCUGGGACGGUACUGACGCUGAGACGCGAAAGCGUGGGGAGCAAACAGG
rnacentral:rRNA from 1 species